rnacentral:rRNA from 1 species
UACGUAGGGGGCAAGCGUUGUCCGGAAUCAUUGGGCGUAAAGCGCGUGUAGGCGGUCCGGUAAGUCCGCUGUGAAAGUCCAGGGCUCAACCCUGGGAUGCCGGUGGAUACUGUCGGGCUAGAGUACGGAAGAGGCGAGUGGAAUUCCCGGUGUAGCGGUGAAAUGCGCAGAUAUCGGGAGGAACACCAAUUGCGAAGGCAGCUCGCUGGGACGUUACUGACGCUGAGACGCGAAAGCGGUGGGGAGCAAACAGG